rnacentral:lncRNA from 1 species
ACCAGAUUGCAAAAGGGGUUCAUGACACACCAAUCUGGAAAUUAUUUGGAUUUCAUGAGAAUUAUAGGUCUAUAGAAUUCUAUAGAAUAUGAAAGCUAUUACCUCACAAUAAUCCCAGGAGGUAGAUUGGAAUGGCAUUAAUAUAACCCUUUUUACAGAUAAGAAAACUGAAGUUUGUAGAGGUUUUGACUUUCCCAAGUUUCACAGUCUAUAAAUAGCAGAACCAAGAUUAGAAACUAAGUAUACUGAUGUCAACUACCAAAAAAUAUAUAUCUUUCUACCAUAUCACUGACAUCCAUGUUUAGAAAACUAUCCACUCGAAAAGCAAUCAUAAAAAGAUGGAAGAAAAGUAGGGACAAUCUAAUUAAGUCCUUUUCGUGGAGGUAUGACUACACCUAUACAAUGCCUGGCUGAUUGCCAAACAUCCACAUUUUAUAGCAAAUGAGCAAUGUACUUAUCUCCUCUGCUUAUAUCAACUCAUGCUUUGAAUCCUGUCAGGACAUUCGUAUAUUCCUCUGACUUAAGUUCCUCAUUCUACAGCACCAACCUAUUUACUCACAUGAAAUAAAUCUACAAAUAUUUAUUGCUGGCCUCUUCUUUUUUUUUCUUAUAAGGGCACAGACCACUAGACAAGAAGGAAUAUGUCAAAGUGCCAGACUUUUUCACAUAAAGUUUCUUUAGAAAAGCACCCUGGACUACUGGAUAUAGUGGUGGACCUUAGAAUCCAGAAGAAUUGGUUGGAACUCUACUUUGGACUCUACCUACAUAAUCAAAGGGAAAGAAACUCAAAAGGCAGCCAGCAGAUAUCCAAAACUUCUCCAUCAGAUGCUGUAUUUCAUGUCAACUUUACCUACAAAAUCUGUGGAAAGGUUCCUGAAAGAGCUCCCCCUGACAUACCUUGGAUGCUGCUCUUGAUGCCAUCAAGAGAAAAGCUGGAAUGUGAGUCUUCCUCCCAUCUCCCUUCACCCCAGCCAGAAGUACAUCUGAGAGGCGGUAAAAUACAUCAGAAAAGGAAGAAAGAGGAUAUGAUGAAGCACGAUGAUCUUGUCUUGAAGGAUGACUCCACUAUCUUAGAGAUGACUAACUGCAGAGAAAUGCAUUUUCCCAUAGGAAGAUAGCCCCCUGAUUUUUAUCAAGUUAUGUGACUCCAGGAUUUCACAUUUCUGAGGGAUGCCAGUUUGCUACUGACUGACUGUGUAGUAUCAAUGAGGUUGAAAAACCCAAUACUUAACCUGAGAAAUUAAAGCUGCUAGCAGUUUAACUAGUGUAUCUUAGUGCACUAAUAAAUAUCUUUUCCUUUCUGUUUGGUUACUCA